rnacentral:misc_RNA from 1 species
AUGAGCAGGUGCAUAUCUC